rnacentral:tRNA from 1 species
AGGUCAGUAGCUCUAAUGGUAGAGCGGCGGUCUCCAAAACCGCAUGUUGGGGGUUCGAGUCCCUCCUGACCUG